CUCGCCCGCAGCACAAUGAUGAUGUCACUGACUCUGCUGCUCUUCACCCUGGAGCUCCUCGUUCAGGCUUCAUCAGAAAAGCUCCUGACUCAGACUCCUGGAGCUCAGUCUGUAGUUCAAGGACAGACUGUCUCCAUCACAUGUAAAUCCAGUUCAAGUGUUGGCAGCUGUCUUAACUGGUAUCUUCAGAAAAAUGGAGAAUCUCCGAAACUCUUGAUUUAUUCAGCUUCAAACCGUCAGUCUGGAGUUUCGAGUCAUUUCAGUGGAAGUGGAUCUGGAACUGACUACACUCUGACAGUCAGUGGAAUUGAACCUGAACAUGCAGGAGUUUAUUACUGUCAGCAGUGUAGCAGCUUCCCGUUCACACAGUGA